rnacentral:rRNA from 1 species
CAGAGGUGGCAAGCGUUGUUCGGAAUUACUGGGCGUAAAGGGCGCGUAGGCGGCCCACUAAGUCAGACGUGAAAUCCCCCGGCUUAACCUGGGAACUGCGUCUGAUACUGGAGGGCUUGAGUAUGGGAGAGGGAGUGUAGAAUUCCAGGUGUAGCGGUGAAAUGCGUAGAUAUCUGGAGGAAUACCGGUGGCGAAGGCGGCAUCCUGGACCAUUACUGACGCUGAGGCGCGAAAGCUAAGGGGGAGCGAAACGGGAUUAGAUACCCCGGUAGUCCUAGCCCUAAACGAUGAAUGCUUGGUGUGGCGGGUAUCGAUCCCUGCCGUGCCGAAGCUAACGCAUUAAGCAUUCCGCCUGGGGAGUACGGUCGCAAGGCUG